ACGAACGCUGGCGGCGUGCUUAACCCAUGCCAGUCGAACGGUGAAGCCCUUCGGGGUGGAUCAGUGGCGAACGGGUGAGUAACACGUGAGCAACCUGCCCCUGGCUCUGGGACAACCACUGGAAACGGUGGCUAAUACCGGAUACGACCCGCCUCGGCAUCGAGUGUGGGUGGCAAGUUUUUCGGCUGGGGAUGGGCUCGCGGCCUAUCAGCUUGUUGGUGAGGUGAAGGCUCACCAAGGCGACGACGGGUAGCCGGCCUGAGAGGGCGACCGGCCACACUGGGACUGAGACACGGCCCAGACUCCUACGGGAGGCAGCAGUGGGGAAUAUUGCACAAUGGGCGAAAGCCUGAUGCAGCGACGCCGCGUGAGGGAUGACGGCCUUCGGGUUGUAAACCUCUUUCAGCUCCGAAGAAGCGAAAGUGACGGUAGGAGCAGAAGAAGCACCGGCUAACUACGUG
rnacentral:rRNA from 1 species